rnacentral:tRNA from 25 species
GGAGAGGUGGCAGAGUGGUCGAAUGCGGCGGUCUCGAAAACCGUUGUCGGUGAGAGCCGACCCAGGGUUCGAAUCCCUGUCUCUCCGCCA